AACUAAAAAAAUAACAAAAGAAAAAGGAAACCCUAACACAAUAUCUAGUCAAACGUGACAGCUGGAUUCCAUUCUUCAUCAAAACAUUUCUGCAUUUGUCGUUCCAACAACCAAAAAGAUAGCAGUUUCCAAAAAUCUCAUCCCUUCUACUAUCAUUUCCUUUGUGCGAACCUUCUCGAAACCAUUAUAAAUCUGGAUGUUUAGUCCUUCUCCUCUCCAUUUCUCAGUGAACAUAGUUAGGCACCCCUCCUACCAGGUACUGUUCCCCUCUACUUUUCAACUCUUUGUGUGCUAAUGCGUGGGCGAGCUUAAUCGCCGAUCCGGGUAUGAACUGGAAAGAGAUCUCCUGAAAGUGUUAUUUUUUCCCUUGAAUAUCUCUAAUUAUAACCCCAAUUACUGAUUUAUCUAGAUUUGUAGAGUUACAGUUCUUGAUUAUCGUUCUUGAAUCUCAUUCUAUUAUUAUUGAGUUAAUAUCCAUAAAAAACUCCAAACUGAAUGGCUUGUAACUCUGUAUGUGCUUCUGCUUCUGCUGCAAAUGGAGAGGGCACUGCAUGGUGAAUGACAGUUUUCGAAACCAAAAUCCCACCCUUGAAUCCCUAACAACAAAACCCGAGGAGGAGCUAGAGGAAUGACUGUCGAAUGAGGCAUCGAAAUUUAUUUUCACCCUCAUACCAAACGAGGAUUUCCAUUGUUCAUCAACAACUUUAUGGAUCGACCGUAAACCACAGCAAAACAACCUACACUGUUCGUAAGUCUCCAAUUUAAAGAUUUAGGACAACUUUGAAAGAUGUGAUUCCUAUCCUUCUCUAAUCCACGGGAUCUAGGGCAAGAUAUUGCCACUACCACUCUUUUUUGGUUGAGAUUAGUUAGUGUAGAAAUGUAAUUUUAGGAAAUCUUUCGCACUGUAAUUUUGAUUUUUGGGGGAAUUUGUAAAUUCCAUAAUUUCCUAUAGAAUUCUCGGUCUAUAAUAAAUUGUCACUAAGAUCAAAAUUACCCUAUUGUAAUAGUUUAUAGGCACUUUUGACGGUGAAUUCUCCGGAAGACUCACCUUGCCAAAUUUGAAUAUCUUCAUGAACUGCCUGUGCUAAUGAGAUCUGCAGAAUUUUUCUUGCGA